GUCGACGGACUUAACUCAUUCUUUUAGAUUGAGAGCGGUUAGUGGCCGACUGGUGAGUAACGCGUGAGCAACCUGGCUAUUAGAGGGGAAUAACAGUGAGAAAUCACUGCUAAUACCGCAUAAGCUCACAGUAGCACAUGCUACAGUGAGAAAAGGAGCAAUCCGCUAAUUGAUGGGCUCGCGUCUGAUUAGCUAGUUGGUGGGGUAAAGGCCUACCAAGGCGAUGAUCAGUAGCCGAACUGAGAGGUUGAACGGCCACAUUGGGACUGAGAUACGGCCCAGACUCCUACGGGAGGCAGCAGUCGGGAAUAUUGCGCAAUGGAGGAAACUCUGACGCAGUGACGCCGCGUAUGGGAAGAAGGUUUUCGGAUUGUAAACCAUUGUCGUUAGGGAAGAAGAAGUGACAGUACCUAAGGAGGAAGCUCCGGCUAACUAUGUGCCAGCAGCCGCGGUAAUACAUAGGGAGCGAGCGUUAUCCGGAUUUAUUGGGUGUAAAGGGUGCGUAGACGGGAAUACAAGUUGGUUGUGAAAUCCCUCGGCUCAACCGAGGAACUGCAACCGAAACUAUAUUUCUUGAGUAUCGGAGAGGAAAGUGGAAUUCCUAGUGUAGCGGUGAAAUGCGUAGAUAUUAGGAGGAACACCAGUGGCGAAGGCGACUUUCUGGACGAAAACUGACGUUGAGGCACGAAAGUGUGGGUAGCAAACAGGAUUAGAUACCCUGGUAGUCCACACCUGUAACGAUGGAUACUAGGUGUAGGGAUUAAUAAAGUCUCU
rnacentral:rRNA from 1 species